GAGUUUGAUCGUGGCUCAGAUUGAACGCUGGCGGCAUGCCUUACACAUGCAAGUCGAACGGCAGCACGGGAGCUUGCUCCUGGUGGCGAGUGGCGAACGGGUGAGUAAUGCAGUCGGAACGUAUCCUGGAGUGGGGGAUAACGUAGCGAAAGUUACGCUAAUACCGCAUAUUCUGUGAGCAGGAAAGCGGGGGACCUUCGGGCCUCGCGCUCUUGGAGCGGCCGAUGUCGGAUUAGCUAGUUGGUGAGGUAAAGGCUCACCAAGGCGACGAUCCGUAGCAGGUCUGAGAGGAUGAUCUGCCACACUGGAACUGAGACACGGUCCAGACUCCUACGGGAGGCAGCAGUGGGAAUUUUGGACAAUGGGGGCAACCCUGAUCCAGCCAUGCCGCGUGAGUGAAGAAGGCCUCGGUUGUAAG
rnacentral:rRNA from 1 species